rnacentral:rRNA from 1 species
GAUGAACGCUAGCUACAGGCUUAACACAUGCAAGUCGAGGGGUAACGAGAGGAAAGCUUGCUUUCCUUGUCGACGACCGGCGCACGGGUGAGUAACGCGUAUCCAACCUGCCCCCAACUAGGGAAUAACCUUGCGAAAGUAAGACUAAUACCCUAUAAUUUCCUCAGAUGUCAUCUGACGAGGAAUAAAGAUUUAUCGGUUGUGGAUGGGGAUGCGUCUGAUUAGCUUGUUGGCGGGGUAACGGCCCACCAAGGAAACGAUCAGUAGGGGUUAUUAGAGGAAGGUCCCCCAAAUUUGAACUGAGACACGUUCCAAACUCCUACGGGAGGCAGCAGUGAGGAAUAUUGGUCAAUGGGCGGAAGCCUGAACCAGCCAAGUAGCGUGCAGGAUGACGGCCCUAUGGGUUGUAAACUGCUUUUAUACAGGAAUAAAGUUAGCCACGUGUGGUUAUUUGUAGGUACUGUAUGAAUAAGGACCGGCUAAUUCCGUGCCAGCCGCCGCCGUAA